ACCCAAGGGAUGGCUCAGUUGGUAGAGCACGAGCCUUUUAAUCUGAGGGUCAUGGGUUCGAACCCUACCUUGAGCA